rnacentral:rRNA from 1 species
UACAGAGGUCUCAAGCGUUGUUCGGAUUCAUUGGGCGUAAAGGGUGUGUAGGUGGCGCCGUAAGUCGGGUGUGAAAUUUCGGAGCUUAACUCCGAAACUGCAUUCGACUACUGCGGUGCUUGAGGAACUGGAGAGGAGACGUGGAAUUCAUGGUGUAGCAGUGAAAUGCGUAGAGAUCAGUGAGGAAGCCAGUGGCGAAGGCGGGUCUCUGGACAGUCCGUGACACUG